rnacentral:rRNA from 1 species
AUUGAACGCUGGCGGCAUGCCUUACACAUGCAAGUCGAACGGUAACAGGUCUUCGGAUGCUGACGAGUGGCGAACGGGUGAGUAAUACAUCGGAACGUGCCUAGUAGUGGGGGAUAACUACUCGAAAGAGUGGCUAAUACCGCAUGAGAUCUAUGGAUGAAAGCAGGGGAUCGCAAGACCUUGUGCUACUAGAGCGGCCGAUGGCAGAUGAGGUAGUUGGUGGGAUAAAAGCUUACCAAGCCGGCGAUCUGUAGCUGGUCUGAGAGGACGAUCAGCCACACUGGGACUGAGACACGGCCCAGACUCCUACGGGAGGCAGCAGUGGGGAAUUUUGGACAAUGGGCGCAAGCCUGAUCCAGCAAUGCCGCGUGCAGGAUGAAGGCCUUCGGGUUGUAAACUGCUUUUGUACGGAACGAAAAGCCCUGGGUUAAUACCCUGGGGUCAUGACGGUACCGUAAGAAUAAGCACCGGCUAACUACGUGCCAGCCGCCGCAGUAACAC